rnacentral:rRNA from 1 species
GACGAACGCUGGCGGCGUGCUUAACACAUGCAAGUCGAACGGAAAGGCCCUGCUUUUGUGGGGUGCUCGCGUGGCGAACGGGUGAGUAACACGUGAGUAACCUGCCCUUGACUUUGGGAUAACUUCAGGCAACUGGUGCUAAUACCGGAUAGGAGCUCCUGCUGCAUGGUGGGGGUUGGACAGUUUCGGCGGUUGGGGAUGGACUCGCGGCUUAUGAGCUUGUUGGUGGGGUAGUGGCUUACCAAGGCCUUGACGGGUAGCCGGCCUGAGAGGGUGACCGGGCACAGUGGGACUGAGAGACGGCCCAGACGCCUACGGGAGGCAGCAGGGGGGAAUAUUGCACAAUGGGCGGAAGCCUGAGGCAGAAACGCCGCGAGCGGGAUGAAGGCCUUCGGGUGGUAAACCGCUUUCGCCUGUGACGAAGCGUGAGUGACGGUAAUGGGUAAAGAAGCACCGGCUAACUACGUG